rnacentral:rRNA from 1 species
ACUCCUACGGGAGGCAGCAGUGGGGAAUAUUGCACAAUGGGGAAACCCUGAUGCAGCCAUGCCGCGUGUGUGAAGAAGGCCUCGGUUGUAAGCACUUCAGUAGGGAGGAAGGUAGUGUAGUUAACACCUGCAUUAUUUGUACGUUACCUACAGAAGAAGCACCGGCUAACUCCGUGCCAGCAGCCGCGGUAAUACGGAGGGUGCGAGCGUUAAUCGGAAUUACUGGCGUAAAGCGCAUGCAGGCGGCCUGUUAAGUCAGAUGUGAAAGCCCGGGGGCGUUAACCUCGGAAUUGCAUUUGAAACUGGCAGGCUAGAGUCUUGUAGAGGGGGUAGGAAUUUCAGGUGUAGCGGUGAAAUGCGUAGAGAUCUGAAGGAAUACCAGUGGCGAAGGCGGCCCCCUGG